rnacentral:rRNA from 1 species
UACCUUUGGUGGGGUAACGGCAUACCAAGGCAACGAUGGGAUAGCCGAUCUGAGAGGAUGAUCGGCCACACUGGAACUGAAACACGGUCCAGACUCCUACGGGAGGCAGCAGUGGGGAAUAUUGCGCAAUGGGCGAAAGCCUGACGCAACGACGCCGCGUGAGGGAUGAAGGUCUUCGGAUCGUAAACCUCUGUCAGAAGGGAAGAAACUAGGGUGCUCUAAUCAUCAUCCUACUGACGGUACCUUCAAAGGAAGCACCGGCUAACUCCGUGCCAGCAGCCGCGGUAAUACGGAAGGUGCAAGCGUUAAUCGGAAUCAAUGGGCGUAAAGCGCACGUAGGCUGUUAUGUAAGUCAGGGGUGAAAUCCCACGGCUCAACCGUGGAACUGCCCUUGAUACUGCAUGACUUGAAUCCGGGAGAGGGUGGCGGAAUUCCAGGUGUAGGAGUGAAAUCCGUACAUAUCAGGAGGAACAUCAGUGGCGAAGGCAGCCACCUGGACCGGUAUUGGACGCUGAAGGUGCGAAAGCGUGGGGAGCAAACAGGAUAAGAUACACUGGNA